rnacentral:rRNA from 1 species
CCUACGGGAGGCAGCAGUGAGGAAUAUUGGUCAAUGGGCGCGAGCCUGAACCAGCCAAGUCGCGUGAGGGAAGACGGUCCUAUGGAUUGUAAACCUCUUUUGUCGGGGAGCAAAAGACGCCACGCGUGGCGUUCCGAGAGUACCCGAAGAAAAAGCAUCGGCUAACACCGUGCCAGCAGCCGCGGUAAUAGGGGGGAUGCGAGCGUUAUCCGGAUUUCUUGGGUUAAAAGGGUGCGCAGGCGGAAGAUCAAGUCAGCGGUAAAAUUGAGAGGCUCAACCUCUUCGAGCCGUUGAAACUGGUUUUCUUGAGUGAGCGAGAGGUAUGCGGAAUGCGUGGUGUAGCGGUGAAAUGCAUAGAUAUCACGCAGAACUCCGAUUGCGAAGGCAGCAUACCGGCGCUCAACUGACGCUCAUGCACGAAAGUGUGGGUAGCGAACAGGAUUAGAUACCCCAGUAGUC